UACGGGGGGGGCAAGCGUUGUUCGGAAUUACUGGGCGUAAAGGGCCUGUAGGCGGCCAACUAAGUCCGACGUGAAAUCCCAAGGCUUAACCUUGGAACUGCGUCGGAUACUGGAUGGCUUGAAUUCGGGAGAGGGAUGCAGAAUUCCUGGUGUAGCGGUGAAAUGCGCAGAUAUCAGGAGGAACACCGGUGGCGAAGGCGGUUCUCUGGGCAGGACCUGACGCUGAGGAGCGAAAGUGUGGGGAGCGAACAGG
rnacentral:rRNA from 1 species